rnacentral:rRNA from 1 species
GACGAACGCUGGCGGCGUGCUUAACACAUGCAAGUCGAACGGAAAGGCCCUGCUUUUGUGGGGUGCUCGAGUGGCGAACGGGUGUGUAACACGUGAGUAACCUGUCCCUGACUUUGGGAUAACUUCAGGAGACUGGGGCUAAUACCGGAUAGGAGCUCCUGCUGCAUGGUGGGGGUUGGUAAGUUUCGGCUGUUGUGGAUGUUCUCGCGGCUUCUCAGCCUGUUGGUGGGGUUGGUGCUUUCCAAGGCUUAGACGGGUAGCCGGCCUGAGAGGGUGACCAGCCACAUGGGGCCUGAGAGACGCCGCAGACUGCUACGGGCGGCAGAAGGGGGGAGUAUGGCACAAUAGGCGGAAGCCAGAGGCAGCAACGCCGGGAGCGGGAUGACGGCCUUCGAGGUGUAAACCGCUUUCGCCUGUGACGAAGCGUGAGUGACGGUAAUGGGUAAAGAAGCACCGGCUAACUACGUG